UAUAGGGUGGCUGAAUAAUAGGCGUUGGAUUGUAAAUCUAAUUAUGGGGAAGGAGACCCCCCCUAUAAA
rnacentral:tRNA from 1 species